CAGUCGCCGCGGGAAAACGGAGGGGGCUAGCGUUGUUCGGAAUUACUGGGCGUAAAGCGUACGUAGGCGGCUUUGUAAGUUAGAGGUGAAAGCCCGGGGCUCAACCCCGGAAUUGCCUUUAAGACUGCAUCGCUUGAACGUCGGAGAGGUGAGUGGAAUUCCGAGUGUAGAGGUGAAAUUCGUAGAUAUUCGGAAGAACACCAGUGGCGAAGGCGGCUCACUGGACGACUGUUGACGCUGAGGUACGAAAGCGUGGGGAGCAAACAGGAUUAGAGACCCCCGUAGUCCCUGUCUCUUAUAA
rnacentral:rRNA from 1 species